rnacentral:rRNA from 1 species
GACGAACGCUGGCGGCGUGCCUAAUACAUGCAAGUCGAACGCAGUGGGGACGGGUGAGUAACACGUGGGUAACCUCCCAUCAGAGGGGAUAACACUUGGAAACAGGUGCUAAACCGCUACUGAUGGAUGGCCCCGCGGUGCAUUCGCUAGUUGGUGAGGCAACGGCUCACCAGGGCCACGAUGCAUAGCCGGCCUGAGAGGGUGAUCGGACACACUGGGACGGAGACACGGCCCAGACUCCUACGGGAGGCAGCAGUAGGGAAUAUUCGGCAAUAGACGGAAGUCUGACCGAGCAACGCCGCGUGAGUGAAGAAGGUUUUCGGAUCGUAAAACUCUGUUGUUAGAGAAGCGGUAUCUAACCAGAAAGCCACGGCUAACUACGUGCCAGCAGCCGCGGUAGUAC